GGAUUGUGGCUUAGCGGUAGAGUGCUUGCCCAGCAUGUGUGAGGCCCUGGGUUCAAUCCUCAGCACCA
rnacentral:tRNA from 1 species